CCUUAUGCCUGAAAGGGCAACGGAGUGUUUCCGGAGCGAGAAGUCAGCCGAGGCCGUAGUAGCCGGUGACGGUGAAGGGC
rnacentral:ncRNA from 1 species